AGAAACUAUUUCCUGGGCUAAGACUCCAAGUCCAGGGCUCUUGUCCCCAGAGGACCUGUCUCCUAGAGCCAGAAAGGAAUUCUACAGUGAACACAGGGUUAAAGUAAACUCUUGCAGCUGAAAGUCUGGAAUUCUGGCUAACAAUACCUAAAUAUCUUUAGUCAGCACCAAAGUGGAAAUUGUGCACUAAUUGGAGUUCAGUGAUGCAGAUAAUAUGGAAUGGAGUACACGGGCUGACAGAAAAUUCUCUCCAGCAGCUGAGCUACUUUCACUACAUUUCAGCCCUAACAACAGAACCCAAAACAAAAAAAGGUACAGAAUGUCUGCAAGUAAUCAAACACACCUGAAGACCCUUCGAGAGAUAGGAAAAUAUCAAGAUCCAGAGCACAGCUUCCGGAGCCAUUCUGCCUGGAAUCAGGUCAUCAUUCCACACCUGACCCAGGGCUUCUUGAUUCACCUAGCUUCACAAGAGCCAAGAGGUGUGUUGAUGGAGAGCGGUCAUACAGUGCUAGUAAUUGCCUUGGAUUCCUGUGCUGUCCUUCAUCAGGGACCUUUAAUGAAGUCUGAGUUGUAGUCCAGUGGAUGCCAGACUGGAAUGCAGGGAGGCUGAAAGCUGACACCAGUUCAACGGAGCCAAGGGCCAGGCGCUAAGGUUGUCUCCAUGACAACCUGCGGAUUUUCCUGGUGAUGCAUUUACACAGCAGGUUAAAGUUCUGUGAAUCAACAGCUGUUGUAAAAACAGUAUAUUAAAUAUGCU
rnacentral:lncRNA from 1 species